rnacentral:lncRNA from 1 species
AUGUCUAAGUCAGAGUUUCAUAAAGAGCCUGAACAGCUGAGAAAGCUCUUCAUUGGAGGGUUGAGCUUUGAAACAACCGAUGAGUGUUUGAGGAGCCAUUUUGAGCAAUGGGGAAAGCUCACAGACUGUGUGAUAAUGAGAGACCCAAACACCAAGCACUCCUGAGGCUUUGGGUUUGUCACAAAUGCCACUGUGGAGGAGGUGGAUGCAGCCAUGAAUGCAAGGUCACACAAGGUGGAUGAAAGAGUUGUGGAACCAAAAGGAGCUGACUCAAGAGAAGACUCUCAAUGACCAGGUGCCCACUUAACUGUGAAAAAGAUAUUUGUUGGUGGCAUUAAAGAAGACACUGAAGAACAUCAUCUAAAAGAUUAUUAAGUGAUUGAAAUCAUGACUGACAGAGGCCGUGGCAGGGAAACAGGCUUUGCCUUUGUAACCUUUGAUGAACAUGACUCCGUGAAUAAGACUGUCAUUCAGAAAUACCAUACUGUAAAUGGCCACAACUGUGAAGUUAGGAAAGCCCUGUCAAAGCAAGAGAUGGCUAGUGUUUCAUCCAGCCAAAGAGGUUGAAGUGGUUCUGGAAACUUUGGUGGUGGUUGUGGAGGUGAUUUUGGUGGGAAUGACAACUUUGUUCAUGGAGGAAACUUCAGUGGUAGUGGUGGCUUUGGUGGCAACUGUGUUGGUGGUGGAUAUGGUGGCAGUGAGGAUGGCUACAAUGGAUAUGGUAAAAAUGGAAGCAAUUUUGGACAUGGUGGAAGCUACAAUGAUUUUGACAAUUACAACAAUCAGUCUUCAAAUUUUGGACCCAUGAAAGGAUGAAACUUUGGAGGCAGAAGCUCUGGCCCCUAUGGUGGUGGAGACCAAUACGUUGCCAAACCACAAAACCAAGGUGGCUCUGGCGGUUUCAGUAGUGGCAGUAGCUAUGGCUGUGGCAGAAGAU